rnacentral:rRNA from 1 species
CUAACACAUGCAAGUCGAGCGGAAACGAGUUAUCUGAACCUUCGGGGGACGAUAACGGCGUCGAGCGGCGGACGGGUGAGUAAUGCCUAGGAAAUUGCCCUGAUGUGGGGGAUAACCAUUGGAAACGAUGGCUAAUACCGCAUGAUGCCUACGGGCCAAAGAGGGGGACCUUCGGGCCUCUCGCGUCAGGAUAUGCCUAGGUGGGAUUAGCUAGUUGGUGAGGUAAGGGCUCACCAAGGCGACGAUCCCUAGCUGGUCUGAGAGGAUGAUCAGCCACACUGGAACUGAGACACGGUCCAGACUCCUACGGGAGGCAGCAGUGGGGAAUAUUGCACAAUGGGCGCAAGCCUGAUGCAGCCAUGCCGCGUGUGUGAAGAAGGCCUUCGGGUUGUAAAGCACUUUCAGUCGUGAGGAAGGUAGUGUAGUUAAUAGCUGCAUUAUUUGACGUUAGCGACAGAAGAAGCACCGGCUAACUCCGUGCCAGCAGCCGCGGUAAUACGGAGGGUGCGAGCGUUAAUCGGAAUUACUGGGCGUAAAGCGCAUGCAGGUGGUUUGUUAAGUCAGAUGUGAAAGCCCGGGGCUCAACCUCGGAAUAGCAUUUGAAACUGGCAGACUAGAGUACUGUAGAGGGGGGUAGAAUUUCAGGUGUAGCGGUGAAAUGCGUAGAGAUCUGAAGGAAUACCGGUGGCGAAGGCGGCCCCCUGGACAGAUACUGACACUCAGAUGCGAAAGCGUGGGGAGCAAACAGGAUUAGAUACCCUGGUAGUCCACGCCGUAAACGAUGUCUACUUGGAGGUUGUGGCCUUGAGCCGUGGCUUUCGGAGCUAACGCGUUAAGUAGACCGCCUGGGGAGUACGGUCGCAAGAUUAAAACUCAAAUGAAUUGACGGGGGCCCGCACAAGCGGUGGAGCAUGUGGUUUAAUUCGAUGCAACGCGAAGAACCUUACCUACUCUUGACAUCCAGAGAACUUUCCAGAGAUGGAUUGGUGCCUUCGGGAACUCUGAGACAGGUGCUGCAUGGCUGUCGUCAGCUCGUGUUGUGAAAUGUUGGGUUAAGUCCCGCAACGAGCGCAACCCUUAUCCUUGUUUGCCAGCGAGUAAUGUCGGGAACUCCAGGGAGACUGCCGGUGAUAAACCGGA